UGGGAGCUUUGAGUCUAUGCCUGGCUUGUUUCCUGCUGCAACCGUGACACAAAGCAGCUGCAACCCUGUUUUGAUCGGACAGUGAAGGCUGAUUUAUGUCUCUAAAGUGGCACAAAGCUGUCUUGGGAAAAUUGGCCAGGAGGACCAAGCAAGAUUUACAAUGAGGAAAAACAGCACAAGAACUACUGUUCUUGGCAAUGGGGAUUAAUUUGUCUUGGAUUAAUAUGAUGAAACCCCGACGUCAUUACCAAUAUUUCAGUGGGGUUUACUAUUUUGCUUCGGCUAAAGAAAUUAUACCCCAUUCAGCAAUUCUCCCAGCAAGUUAAGAAACAGGAUCUUCAUCCAGACUCGCGAAGCUGACAAGGUGGCAAGCAACCCCAGUGGAGACUGCUCCCUCCAAGCUCAGUAGGCUCAGCUUGCCACUUGCUGAGUCCCUGAGUGAGUGCACACGGCAGCUACCAGCUGGUGCCACAGGCCAUCCUCCCACCAGGAGCAUCAGAAGACAGGCCUGGCUACUGUAGGACACAGUUUAACAGCAAGUCAAUGAAAGGACAAACUUUAGCAUCCACAAGUGUGGAUACUUAUACAUUUGUUGGCCUGGGAGCAGGAAAAUCCUUCAAAUGUUCUUGUUGAUAACAACAAGAAAGCUGCUUUCAUUUGUGAAGGAGAGGGAGACCUGCUGAGAUAGAUAAAGAAUGCUGGAGUAAGUUCUCCUGGAUCUGUUUCAAGGCUUUACGAGCUUUCUUUGGACUCUCAGAUUCAAGGUCAGGAAAAGAACUGACUCCAGAACUGAGCAUCAGCACAUGGAUCCCCCCUGCCCUUUCACCAUCUGCUUUUCCGAAGCUGUAAGACUGACCUCAGGGAGGGGGUGCAAGGCCUUCCAGGGGAUGCAGAAUGGAGGAAUUUGGGACCAAUAGGAUAUGCAUGCCCUGAGGGAGCUCCAGCCCACCACGGGGAGGAGAGAGAGAUCACCCUUGCACUCCCCCACCCUGCAUGCUCUGAAUUUGGAAUCCUGGGGUAUCCCCUCUGGAUUGCAACUGCAGAAAUUUAAACAGUAAUAAAUACAGCUGGCUUAAUGAAGAUGAUACUGCCAAUAAAAAAUGGCAGUAUCAUCUGCAUCAAAUGGUGGUAUCAAUGGCAGUAUCAAAACACCUGUUUGAAUGCAAUCUAAACUUCCUGUCAGAAUUAGAAGUAUACUUAUAUAUACUAUUUAUUUAAAUAUAUGCAAUAUAAUUUAAAUAGUGUAGUGCACCAACUUUGGUUUUAACAGUAAAUUAAUGAGCAGAUAUUAUUUUUGCCUUAAGACAUGGUUCAAAAUGGGCGGCCUUUCAGUAGCUGCAAGCAUCACACUGAAGCAUGGAAAUGAUCCACUGCAUGUUCCUAAAGGUGAAAAAUGUUCUUUCUAUUAGCAGCAGUAAGUUUUAUUGCUAUAACCACAGGUCAGAAGAAAGCACAAUCCAGACAUACCUAUCAGUAAGGAAAUCUGCUCCUCAUCAAUUUUCUGACCUUGUGAGCUUGUGAGUACACAAUGAAGUUUAACCAAUGAAUUUCCUCAUACUUGUUUUUGUGAAAUAUGAAACAUAAAUAUCUUCAAUUACAGAAUCUUGAGGGAAA